rnacentral:rRNA from 1 species
UACGGAGGAUGCAAGCGUUAUCCGGAUUUAUUGGGUUUAAAGGGUGCGCAGGUUGUUUGAUAAGUCAGUGGUGAAAGUCUGUCGCUUAACGGUAGGAUUGCCAUUGAUACUGUUAGACUUGAAUAUGGAUGAGGUAGGCGGAAUGUGUAGUGUAGCGGUGAAAUGCAUAGAUAUUACACAGAACACCGAUUGCGAAGGCGGCUUACUAAUCCAUCAUUGACGCUGAGGCACGAAAGCGUGGGGAUCAAACAGGA